AUUGAACGCUGGCGGCAGGCCUAACACAUGCAAGUCGAGCGGAGCGGCGGACGGGUGUGUAAUGCCUAGGACUCUGCCUGUUAGUGUGGGAUAACGUCCGGAAACGGGCGCUAAUACCGCAUACUAUCAGAUGAGUCUAGAGCGGAUUAGCUAGUUGGUGGGGUAAAGGCCUACCAAGGCGACGAUCCGUAACUGGUCUGGGAGGAUGAUCAGCCAGAGUGGAACUGAGACACGGUCCAGACGACAAAGGGGGGCAGCAGGGGGGAAGAUUAGAAAAAGGGCGAAAGGCUGAACCAGCCAAGCGGCGUGUGGGAAGAAGGUCUUCGGAUUGUAAAGCACUUUAAGUUGGGAGGAGUUACCAAGAAAAUAAGCACCGGCUAACUUCGUGCCAGCAGCCGCGGUAAUAC
rnacentral:rRNA from 1 species